rnacentral:lncRNA from 1 species
GUACUAUUCUGACUGGUCUGUCUGAACUAAUAGGUUGGAUCUAAGGCUACAAAUUAGGCUGCAGCAUGGAUUGCAUUUCUGUAUUUAUCAUUUGCUAAUUAUGAAGUAGUAUACCCAGGGGCUUUAAGUAAAACAAUACAAUACCCAAGCCUUUAAAAGUCCAAAUCAAAGAACCAAGAGUUAACAGUAGAGGCUUACUGCAUGUUCACUUGAAAUAUACCGUUGCUGUAAUACAGGGUGUGCUGGCUUGAUGAGUGUGACCAUGUUCAUCCACAUUCUUCUGAUGCAUGCUGUUGUGGAUCAAACCUUCAAGUUCAAUGCAUUACCUGAGAGGUUUAGAAACAUUUUAUACAAAUGUGGAACUGUGUGUCUCACUAUAUUAAAUGCAGUAUUGUUGGCAACUGAAUUGGUCCUGAAAGUAUUAAAAGGGGGAAGGACAGUGAUGGAUCUUAGAGUCAUUGUUUUUUCAUCUGAGUGCUGUUUCGUUGGUGGAUGGCUUUGUCUAAAGCUUUACUACACCUUUAUGGUGUUAAAAAACGGGGUUCGAAAUGACAUAAGAAAAUGUCAUGCCCAUGGAUGUGGUUGUGGAUGUGUUCCUGCUCUUAGAAGCAAUGAAGAAGGUCAGUGAGACCUGAGGCAAUGUUACAAGUUGUUAACGUCUACUCCUCAUUGCCGGCCUACCCCAUCAAAGAUGUCUACAAUCAUAUUUUUAUUCAGACCUAUUUCUGUAUUCUUAUUUCUAACCUGAGCCAAUUACAAAAGCAUUUAUGUGUAUGUACUCCAGCUAUUUUAGACGGGCAUCUGCUUGGAUGAGACCUAUCUCACGAUGUCCUUUAACAGACAGUCGUACUCAUUCACGGUCGAUUACAUGUGUGAUCAAACCUGCUGAACUGAUGGACAAGUGUAACCACGUCCUCAUCACAUUCUAAGCACACAAUCACAUACUUCAACAAAACCUUCAUAAAAGACAUUAGGUGAGACACGACUGCAGCUCUGUCUUCCUUGGUUUGGCAGUAUUGUACUGUAUUGAGAUUGUGGGCAUAUGAGCUCCUGGAAAUAUUUUGAGGUUAUAUUGAUUUUCAUUCAUAUGUGUGAGCAGCCUCAUCAGUCUUCCGUUCUCAUCUGGAACCCUAAAUGACAAAAACUAUCAUUAUUAUCUUUGCUAUGUGUUUGCAUAUGUGUGUGUAGGGGCUAGGGAAGGGCCAUUGAUGUAUCUCAAAUCUGGGAUCAAUUGUAUAUAUUUCUGCAACUAACUUAAAUCAGUUCAAAAUGUUACAUUUAUGAGGUAUGGAUACAGAUUUGACUUUGAUAUAUGUAAAAUGAAAAUAAACAUAGGACUAAGCACUGGCUGUAUUAUUGU